rnacentral:rRNA from 1 species
UACGUAGGGUGCGAGCGUUGUCCGGAAUUAUUGGGCGUAAAGAGCUCGUAGGCGGUUCGUCGCGUCGGCUGUGAAAACCCGGAGCUCAACUCCGGGCCUGCAGUCGAUACGGGCGGACUGGAGUUCGGCAGGGGAGACUGGAAUUCCUGGUGUAGCGGUGAAAUGCGCAGAUAUCAGGAGGAACACCGGUGGCGAAGGCGGGUCUCUGGGCCGAUACUGACGCUGAGGAGCGAAAGCGUGGGGAGCGAACAGG